GGUUAUUAUCUUGAAUAUUAUUAUAGAUAGAGAUAAACUGUAAACAGCAAUAAUGUUCAGCAAAGUAAGAUCUACAAAUAAGUCAACAUGACCAAAAUGGUCAGUUGACCCGUUUAGGAGUUAUUGCCCUUUAUAGUCAAUUUUUAACCAUUUUUCGUAAAUUAAAGUAAUCUUUUACAAAAAUCUUCUCCUCUGAAACUACUGGCCAAUUAAUCCAAAACUUGGCCACAAUCAUCUUUGGGGUAUCUAGUUUAAAAAAUGUGUGGCGUGACCUGGUCAACCAACCAAGAUGGCCGCCACCGCUAAAAAUAGAACAUAGGGGUAAAAUGCAGUUUUUGGCUUAUAACUCAAAAACCAAAGCAUUUUGAGGAAAUCUGACAUGGAUAAAAAUGUUUAUCAGGUCAAGAUCUAUCUGCCCUGAAAUUUUCAGAUGAAUCGGUCAAUCGGU
rnacentral:lncRNA from 1 species